AAGUCUGGUUUUGGAUUCAGCGCUUUGUCCCAACAAGUCAUGGCCAGAACAUAAGCUUUGAAGGAUGGUAUCGAGCAGACAAGGAAGACAAGGCGACAGAGAAACUCUGAUAUAUGUAGCAGAGGCCUUGAUAGAAGUCAACUCCGGUGACUAGGUGAUGCGACGACAGCACUCUGAAGGCGGAUGUUCUGGAGGCUGGAGGCGUAGGAUUAGGUUUUCUGGCGGAGGCUUAGUUUAGCUUUAGGUUAAUUGUGUUUUGGCUAAUUAUGUUUUGGUUUAAUGUUUUAAUUUGCUUUUUGUUUAGUGUGUUCUUUAGUUAUUUGUACACUGAUGUUAAUCAAUAAAUAAAAUUUAAUUUUUAAUUA